AUGUUCCAGUUUAUAUCCAUCAAGCAUGUUAGCAGUAUUGAAUCUGAUCACUGUUUUGUGUUGGCCGAACUGAAGUCUGUUGAUACAAGCAGGUGGUCUAAGGCAACUCGUACAUUCACGUACGGAAAUGUUUGGCAGACUCAUGCACAGUAUGACAAAAUUGUCCGUGACACGUGGCAUGCAGGGUCUGGCCAAGAAGGUGACCAGAAUACAGGGUAUUUCCAAGCACAAGCUGCCCAGCGGAAGAGACUUAACCGCAUUGAUCAGUUGCAAAGAGCGGAUGGGGUCAUGUGCAUGGGUCCAUUAGAUGUGAAAAAUGAAAUCAGUAGCUUCUAUCAAGCACUAUAUCAAACACAGGGCUUCAGGCCCAUGCAUGAGCUACUUGACUGUGUUGUUCCGAAAGUUACAGAAACCAUGAAUGAGCAUGUAGAGAAAGAGUAUGUAGCCGAGGAAGUUAAACGGGCGCUAUUUGACAUGGCACCAUCGAAAGCACCGGGUGUUGAUGGUUUCACUGUCGGGUUUUACCAACGGCACUGGGACAUCCUCCGUGCAGAUAUUACACAAGCUAUACUGGAUUUUCUUAAUGGUGGCGAGUUACCUGAGGGCCUAAAUGACACUGCGAUUACACUCAUACCCAAGGUAAGGCACCCACAGAAGAUUUCGCAUGAAAAUAUCCCAAGUGCAGAAAGACUCAACAAAAUCCUUCGGAUCUAUGCUGAUUGCUCUGGUCAAGCAGUGAACCGGGAGAAAAGCUCCAUAUUCUUUAGUGGGAACACGUCGGCACCAAUUCGGGCAGCCCUGAAGAAUACACUUGGCAUUACCGUAGAGGCGUUCUCUGAACGCUACCUGGGCCUACCGACAGCGGUGGGGCGAGUUACGAGUGGGACUUUUGAUCACAUCAUUGAGAGAAGCCGAGGAAAGAUGCGGGGAUGGUCGGAAAGAACUCUAGCCUGCGCUGCUAGAGAAGUUCUAUUGAAAUCAAAUAUCCAAUCUAUCCCCACUUUCAGUAUGAGCUGCUUCUUCCUCACAAAGAAGAGUCUUGAAAGGGAAAUACUUCCCGAAUACGGACUUUCUUCAAGCGACAUCACCGACGAGAUCUUCGGCCACAUGGAAAGCUAUUGUCGCUGGGAGGAAUGCCUUGGAGACUGGGUUGAUACACAUGAUCGGGGAUGGCACCUCAAUCUCGAUCUGUCGGAUUCUGAGGCCAUUCUCAACAUUCCCCUCAAUCCAGCUGGAGGCGAGGACACUAUUGCAUGGGCCUUCGAAAAAUCUGGCAUCUACAUGGUUAAAUCGGCGUACCGCUCUCUGAUGACUUGCAACGAGCCUAGUUCUCCAGAGGAAGGGACGGCUACUGAACCUUUAACAGCAAAUAAAGCUGUGUGGACAGCGCUAUGGAAGCUACAUGUGAUACCAAGAGUCCGAGUUUUUUGGUGGAGAGUUCUUCGUGGAAUUCUACCAGACUCAGCGACGCUGCAGCAUAGACACAUUAAACAGACUGGUCUGUGCGAGUUCUGCAAGGCCAUGAAUGAGGACUUGAUGCAUGCAUUGGUUCUCUGUAGCCAUGCACAAGGUUUCUGGAGGGCCGAACAUGAUAGAUUCAAAUUACGGCUUCCACAACUAAACCCAACUACUUGGGCCAAGGAUAUCUUGCUCGAUCACAUGUUCUCGGAUGAGGAACGGUGCAUGGUUAUAUCUAUUAUGCAUGCUAUUUGGACGUCUCGCAAUCGAUGGACACAUGACAAAGAUGGAUAUGAUCCGGUGCAGGCUCUGAAAUGGGUGCAUGAAACACUCUCACUAUUGGAAUUACCGGCGAGAGGAAACAAAAACACUGCUAGUCAGUGUUGGCGACCACCGGAUCCAGGGUGGAUCACUAUCAACACCGACGGUUUGUUAAACAUCAAUGAGCGUAAGGGUGGAGCGAGGGGCGUGGCCCGCUCCCAUCUUGCUUUCCUGGGAGCGUGGAGCAAGCCACUACCCGGCAUCACAGACCCUUUCAUUGUUGAACUUAUGGCAUUCCGGGAGGGGGUGAUCUUUGCACAACUCCGAGGUUUUUCCCAUGUUACCAUGGAGGUUGACUGCUUGGAGCUAGUCAACCUUUGGCAGUCGCGCCGUGAUUCCCGCUCAGUUGCAGCGCCUAUCCUGAAUAUCCUGAACAUAGAGGAGAUCGUAUCUAGCUUCAUUUCCUUUUCUGUUACCCAUGUCGGGAGAUCCUUUAAUGUCCCUGCUCACACUUGUGCCCAGUGUGCCUGUACGCUGGAUGGGACAGAGAGCUAG
rnacentral:rRNA from 1 species